UGCCCUAUGUUUGACAACCACACUUCAGGAUAGUCAGACAGGGCAUCUCCAGAAGAAGACUGAGGGGUUUUACCUCAGUGUGAACCAGAGGAAACACUACCUAUACUGUUUGACAGACGGCAACAAGAGGAGGCAUCAGAUUCAGAGAAAUUGUUGAGUACAAGGCAGCCUUGACAGCAGACAGAGCUUCUCAGUGGGUGAGCUGCUCAGUACUAACAACAUUGUGGGGCCAUGGGAGAGACUUGGCACCAGCAACCGCCAUCUCGCCAUCAAAAAGGCAAUCUUCAACAGACUGAUGUUGGUGAACGGACUGCAGGAGGUGAAGAGGCACUGGGGGAGCCUACAAAGAGCAGGAGCUCUGGAGGCACUGUGCCUACAGCUGCAAGAUCAGAGUAAUGCAGUGGAGGGAGGAAUGGCCUUCUCUGCCUCCUGAAGAGAAGAUUGAGUGAACUGACACAAGUCCAAGGAAACACCAGGAACACCUAGCAAAAGCUAGUCCUAUUGCUGAGAGCUCAGAUGACAACUGCUAUGCUUUCUGAAAUCAUUCACCACCCCUGCCUCUGCUCUCUCGGGAGCAGCCUGGUCUCCUGACGUUGACCCCUGACCCCUCACCUUCUGAACCCAUCCAGAGAAAUAUAAGCAAUGUGUUAUUUCAGUGCAUUUGUUGCCAUGUUUCCUCUCCUCCCGUUUCUUCCUGUCGUAGACUAUGGCGACAUCAUCAGCUUCUAAAAUAAGUAAGUGACGUAAAGGUCUUCAUAAAUAAAUGCAUUAAGCACUAACAAGUUUGUGUGUGUGUGUGUGUGUGUGUGUGUGUGUGUGUGUGUGUGUGUGUGUGUGUGUGUGUGUGUGUGUGUGUG